UACAGCAAUGUCUGUGUGUCUGUCUGUAGAUGGGACGUAUUAUGGUACAGCAAUGUAUGUGUCUGUUUUAAGAUGGGAUGCACUGUCCUCCAUCUGAAUGCUUUGUUAUGAUGUAUGAAAUGCCCUCUAAUACUCGGGUGACCGAUAUGGCCCGUGAGUAACCUGUUUAGAUUUAUUGAUUGUAUCUUACUUAAUGUCUCGCACGAGAAUUUUUCACUGGUAUGGAGACGUCACCAAGACCGGUGAAGGGCUUCAAAUUUAGGCCUAUGCUCAGCGCUUACAGCCAUUGAGCAGUGAGGGUUCUUUAGCGUGUCACACCUACUGUGACUCGGGACAUCUGUUUUAAGGUCAUCUCCGAGGACCUAUGACAUUCACACUUGAUGCCGAGCAUUUGAUGAUGGAACUGUCACUACCUAUUAAUAAUUUUAACGACUUAGGUCUGUCACAGCCGGGAUUUGAACCCCAGCCUCCCGCAUGCGGGGUGAACGUCCAACCUCUCAGCAACCGUGAGGAUAUCAAGCUGCCUUCUUUUGACAAAUUCAUGAGGAUUUUGAUUUGCUCAAACUUUUUUUUACUAGUACCUGUCUGAUUUCUGGUCAUUCCAGCUCUCAUUGUCACUUUGGUUUUUCAGCUCCCUGGGCCUCUUGAGAUGGUGACACCCUGCAGUAGGAGCAGUUCCUAUCGGUAUCUCUUAAAAGCAGACAGAGGUUCUCAUAGCAUCUGAUCCAUUGCUGGGGACAAACUUUUGUAUGGAGCUGGGUAGCAGUUACUUGAGAUGUCCGGCUGAUUGAUGAGGACUCUAACAUUUUGUAGGACUUGGAUAGCUCUAUUGCUGUAAAAAUUGUCAGGACAGUGGAGAUUUAGAUAAGUGGUGUGAUGUUAUUGAUGGUAAACAGAAGACUGUGACCUUGAAUCUGAAGAUCUGUGAUGAAGACUGGACGUUUGGGGUCACUCUCUGUUACAGUACUACAAAUCUAACAGUGUAAUGCUCAGCCACAAAGAGGUUGUCUCUGAUGUCCACACAUAAACCCCAUGGAUCUCGUAAAUCACAGUGAAUGUAACGGAGGAACUGUCCGUCCUGAUCUAGGAUGUGGAUACGGUGAUUGUCACAGUCUGCUGUCAGGAUGUGACUCUGGCUGUCUGUAGUGAUGACGUAUGGAUUAAAUGAUUGCUCGGUAUUAGAGGGAUGACCAGUGUAUCUAAAUCGGAGUUUUCCUGACUGAUUGACCACCACUACUGCACUAGCUAACCAGUCAGCCACACAGAUAUCCAGGUUCUUGUUCUCACUGAGGUAUUUAAUGCUAUUAUCAGAUGAGUAGAGAGGACGACCCUGAUCAUCAAACUGAAUGCUUUGUUUCUCUGUGGAGCCGGAGUAACGCACGACUUUGGAUUGUUUUCUAUCAUCACUGAUCAUGGUAACCAGGAGAUCGUUACCCACGGUACAGCAGACAUUGAGAAGUCUCCACCCCUGUAGUGUGAUCACGAAUGAGUUGAGUGGAAUAAUGAACCUCCAGAUGUCUAUGUACACGUGUAUGAAUAAACUGUUGUACUCGCGCAUGCGAGCUUAUCCUAUA